rnacentral:rRNA from 1 species
AGUGAACGCUGGCGGUAGGCCUAACACAUGCAAGUCGAACGGCAGCACAGUAAGAGCUUGCUCUUACGGGUGGCGAGUGGCGGACGGGUGAGGAAUACAUCGGAAUCUACUUUUUCGUGGGGGAUAACGUAGGGAAACUUACGCUAAUACCGCAUACGACCUACGGGUGAAAGCAGGGGAUCUUCGGACCUUGCGCGAUUGAAUGAGCCGAUGUCGGAUUAGCUAGUUGGCGGGGUAAAGGCCCACCAAGGAGACGAUCCGUAGCUGGUCUGAGAGGAUGAUCAGCCACACUGGAACUGAAACACGGUCCAGACUCCUACGGGAGGCAGCAGUGGGGAAUAUUGGACAAUGGGCGCAAGCCUGAUCCAGCCAUACCGCGUGGGUGAAGAAGGCCUUCGGGUUGUAAAGCCCUUUUGUUGGGAAAGAAAAGCAGCAGGUUAAUACCCCGCUGUUCUGACGGUACCCAAAGAAUAAGCACCGGCUAACUUCGUG